rnacentral:rRNA from 1 species
AGCUUGCUUUUUUGAGACCGGCGCACGGGUGAGUAACGCGUAUGCAACCUACCUUAUACAGGGGAAUAGCCCGAAGAAAUUCGGAUUAAUGCUCCAUGGUUUAUCGAUAUGGCAUCGUAUUGAUAAUAAAGAUUUAUCGGUAUAAGAUGGGCAUGCGUAUCAUUAGCUAGUUGGUGUGGUAACGGCAUACCAAGGCAACGAUGAUUAGGGGUCCUGAGAGGGAGAUCCCCCACACUGGUACUGAGACACGGACCAGACUCCUACGGGAGGCAGCAGUGAGGAAUAUUGGUCAAUGGAGGCAACUCUGAACCAGCCAUGCCGCGUGCAGGAUGACGGUCCUAUGGAUUGUAAACUGCUUUUGUACAGGAAGAAACCUCCCUACGAGUAGGGACUUGACGGUACUGUAAGAAUAAGGAUCGGCUAACUCCGUGCCAGCAGCCGCGGUAAUACGGAGGAUCCGAGCGUUAUCCGGAAUUAUUGGGUUUAAAGGGUUCGUAGGCGGCUUUGUAAGUCAGUGGUGAAAUUUCCUAGCUUAACUAGGACACUGCCAUUGAUACUGCAGAGCUUGAAUAGUAUGGAAGUAACUAGAAUAUGUAGUGUAGCGGUGAAAUGCUUAGAUAUUACAUGGAAUACCAAUUGCGAAGGCAGGUUACUACGUAUUUAUUGACGCUGAUGAACGAAAGCGUGGGGAGCGAACAGGAUUAGAUACCCUGGUAGUCCACGCCGUAAACGAUGGAUACUAGCUGUUCGGUUUUCGGACUGAGUGGCUAAGCGAAAGUGAUAAGUAUCCCACCUGGGGAGUACGUUCGCAAGAAUGAAACUCAAAGGAAUUGACGGGGGCCCGCACAAGCGGUGGAGCAUGUGGUUUAAUUCGAUGAUACGCGAGGAACCUUACCAGGGCUUAAAUGUAGAUUGACAGAUUUGGAAACAGAUUUUUCUUCGGACAAUUUACAAGGUGCUGCAUGGUUGUCGUCAGCUCGUGCCGUGAGGUGUCAGGUUAAGUCCUAUAACGAGCGCAACCCCUAUUGUUAGUUACCAGCGCGUAGUGGCGGGGACUCUAGCAAGACUGCCGGUGCAAACCGUGAGGAAGGUGGGGAUGACGUCAAAUCAUCACGGCCCUUACGUCCUGGGCUACACACGUGCUACAAUGGCAAGUACAGAAAGCAGCUACCUGGCAACAGGAUGCGAAUCUCCAAAGCUUGUCUCAGUUCGGAUUGGAGUCUGCAACUCGACUCUAUGAAGCUGGAAUCGCUAGUAAUCGGAUAUCAGCCAUGAUCCGGUGAAUACGUUCCCGGGCCUUGUACACACCGCCCGUCAAGCCAUGGAAGCU